rnacentral:lncRNA from 1 species
CGAUCCAAGCUUUCUAUCUCACCGGGGUGCUAGCUUCCUUGCAGAGAUAGCUUUGAUGGCUGAUCUCCUCUCUUUCAAUCAACCCUUGAUUGUGCUUGAGUGGAGGAGGAAGAAGAAGAGAUCUUGAAGAAGAACAAGAAGGCUAGAUGCAACCUUUGCUUUCCCUUGCGUCGAAUCCCAAACGAAGGAGGAAGAAGAGGACCGCCAAGAGAUCUUUCUUGCUCCCUUGCUUUCGGUUGAAGACCAAGGAGGAAGAGGAGGAGGCCACGGCUGCAAGGAGAGGGAUG